UCUUGGAUAGCUCAGUCAGCAGAGCAUGGGACUCUUAAUCUUACGGUCGUGGGUUCAAGCCCCACAUUGGGCCAAAGAU